AAUUAAAAUACAAUGUGAAAGGAUAUCAAUGAUACGAUUCGCUGAUGACAUUGCUAUCCUGAGUGAAAGUGAAGAAGAAUUAAAUGAUCUGCUGAACGGAAUGAACAGUCUAAUGAGUACACAGUAUGGUUUGAGAGUAAAUCGGAGAAAGACGAAGGUAAUGAGAAGUGGUAGAAAUGAGAACAGCGAGAAACUUAACAUCAGGAUUGAUGGUCACGAAGUCAAUGAAGUUAAGGAAUUCUGCUACCUAGGCAGUA